UACGUAGGGGGCUAGCGUUGUCCGGAUUUAUUGGGCGUAAAGAGCGUGUAGGCGGCCAGGUAGGUCUGCUGUGAAAACUCGAGGCUCAACCUCGAGACGUCGGCGGAAACCAUCUGGCUAGAGUCCGGAAGAGGAGAGUGGAAUUCCUGGUGUAGCGGUGAAAUGCGCAGAUAUCAGGAAGAACAUCGGUGGCGAAAGCGCUCUACUGGACGGUAUCUGACACUGAGGGACGAAAGCUAGGGGAGCGAAUGGG
rnacentral:rRNA from 1 species